AUGGCUGAUAAGAAGAAGAGGUUGACCGCAAGUGAAGCCCUUGCUCUUCUUUUUGAUUCAUUUACAUCUGGAAAGGAAGUUGAUGUGAACUUAGAGGAGUUGGUGGAUAUAGAUGAGGGAGAAGGAGGAAAUUAUGUUGAUAUGGGGCAACAGACUGAUAAGCAGCCAGAGGAAGGAGAGGAAGAUGAAGGAGAGGAAAAGAAAGGGGAAGGAGAGGAAGAUGAAGGAGAAGAAAAGGAAGGGGAAGGAGAGGAAAAGGAAGGAGAAGGAGAGGAAGAUGAAGGAGAGGAAAAGAAAGGGGAAGGAGACGAAGAUGAAGGAGAAGAAAAGGAAGGGGAAGGAGAGGAAAAGGAAGGAGAAGGAGAGGAAGAUGAAGGAGAGGAAAAGAAAGGGGAAGGAGACGAAGAUGAAGGGGAGGAAGAGGAAGGAGGGGAGGUGGAAGCAGAGGAAGAGGAAGCCAGUCCAACCCCCAGCACUUCUACUGUUCGUCACAAGCGUCCACUGCCCCAUACGUGGAAGAAAAAUGUCAUCAAAGAAAAGCGUCUGAAGGGAGAGAAUUACAAGAAUACAAUGGGACAGGAGAGACCACCAAAGGCCAUGGGCCCACCAUGCACAUCACAGCACUGCUUCAAGUCAACGACAAGAAGUUGUGAGCUACUGACUGAAGUUGAGAGAAGAGGAAUCUUCAACAAUUUCUGGUCCAUGCCUUCCUGGGAGACACGCAAGGUGUAUAUCCAGACUGUUGUUGAAAAUGUGCCCAUAAAACAGAAGAAAGGUGGUGUUGAUUCAAGGAGAACAACAUCUCUGCUAUACCACCUGCAACUCUCAGAUAGAUGCAAAAUACCUGUGUGCAAAAAUCUUUUCUGUUCCACACUUGGUAUUGCCCUGAGAACCAUUGGAUCAUGGUUAACUGCAGGCAUGAAACCCAACACUCAUACCCAGCCCAACCCCAAGAUCAACAAGACUGGUCCUCAUAUGCCAAUAUCAGAUGGAGACCAGGCCUUCCUGAAAGAGUGGCUCUCUGGAAUACCUACAGUCCCAUCCCAUUACUGCCGCCAGGUUCCCUCUUAUCAGAACAAGAAGUUCCUGGAGCCAGGAACAGUUUUGAGAGAGCUUCACAAGGAAUACCAGAAUGCUGCCAAUGAGAAUGGAAAGCGUGCUGUGAGUGAGACAUACUUUCGGAAGGUUUUUGGAGAGCAGGAUUACUCUGUGUUCAUUCCAAAAAAAGACCAAUGUGACAUCUGUGUAAGCGCCAAGGUAGGAAAUACAGAUGAGGAUGCUCUUGCUACACACUUGAGAUUGAAGAGUCAGGCUCAAGCUGAAAAGGCUGCAGACAAAAAUGAAUCCAGUGACACACUUUCAGUGUGGACAAUGGACCUUCAACGCGUUCUUCUUUGCCCCCAGACAAAAGCAAGUACAAUGUACUACAAAACUAAAUUACAGAUGCACAACUUUACCUGCUUCAACAUGAACAACAGAGAUGGGUACUGUUAUGCUUGGGAAGAACAUGAAGGCUCCCUCAGCAGUGAGGUUUUUGCACAUCUGCAGUCCAACCACUUUGAGUCUGUCCUACAGGCCAACAGAAACAUUGAGAAAGUCAUUGUCUGGAGUGAUGGCUGCGGGUAUCAGAACCGGUGUGCUACCAUCAGCAACGCCUACCUUUACCUGGCCAUGAAGCAUGGUGUCAGCAUUGAGCAGAAAUUUCUAGUUGCAGGCCACACACAGAUGGAGUGUGACUCCAUGCACAGUCUAAUUGAACGGCGCAUUGUGCAAGACGUUUACACUCCACGAGAUUACGUUGUCAUCUUUGAGGCUGCACGCAUUAAUCCAUCCCCAUACAGGGUGACUCAACUAUACCACAAUGACUUCAUGAAGUUAUCUGGCACCUAUGUCACCAAUAUUCGACCCGGCAAAAAAGUUGGGGACCCCACAGUCCAUGACCUCCGGGCUUUGCAGUACUUGACUGAUGGACGGAUCAGGUACAAGCUGGAUUUUGAAUCUGACUGGGAAGACCUGCCUCGGCGCAUCAGCAUACCCGACAACAAGCCAUUCAAGUGGAUCCCACUCUUUCCUGCUCAGUUGCCCAUCACCCUGAGGAAAUACAGUGACUUACAGUCAAUGAAAAAUGUACUACCAAGAGUGGCCCACAAGUACUAUGAUGAUCUUCCUCAUCAGUAG
ensembl:lncRNA